rnacentral:rRNA from 1 species
AGAGUUUGAUUAUGGCUCAGGACGAACGCUGGUGGCGUGCUUAACACAUGCAAGUCGAACGGUGAUGCCCAGCUUGCUGGGUGGAUCAGUGGCGAACGGGUGAGUAACACGUGAGCAACCUGCCCCCUACUUCGGGAUAAGCCUUGGAAACGAGGUCUAAUACCGGAUAUGAGCAUCUGCCGCAUGGUGGGUGUUGGAAAGUUUUUCGGUAGGGGAUGGGCUCGCGGCCUAUCAGCUUGUUGGCGGGAUAAUGGCCUACCAAGGCGUCGACGGGUAGCCGGCCUGAGAGGGCGACCGGCCACACUGGGACUGAGACACGGCCCAGACUCCUACGGGAGGCAGCAGUGGGGAAUAUUGCACAAUGGGCGAAAGCCUGAUGCAGCGACGCCACGUGAGGGAUGACGGCCUUCGGGUUGUAAACCUCUUUCAGCAGGGAAGAAGCGAGAGUGACGGUACCUGCAGAAGAAGCGCCGGCUAACUACGUGCCAGCAGCCGCGGUAAUACGUAGGGCGCAAGCGUUGUCCGGAAUUAUUGGGCGUAAAGAGCUCGNAGGCGGUCUGUCGCGUCUGGUGUGAAAUCCCAUGGCUCAACUGUGGGCUUGCAUCGGGUACGGGCAGACUAGAGUGCUGUAGGGGAGACUGGAAUUCCUGGCGUAGCGGUGGAAUGCGCAGAUAUCAGGAGGAACACCGAUGGCGAAGGCAGGUCUCUGGGCAGUUACUGACGCUGAGGAGCGAAAGC